rnacentral:rRNA from 1 species
ACUCAAAGGAAUUGACGGGGGCCCGCACAAGCAGCGGAGCGUGUGGAUUAAUUCGAUGCAACGCGCAGAACCUUACCCAGGCUUGACAUGCACGUGGUAGGUGGCCGAAAGGGCACCGACCCGCAAGGGAGCGUGCACAGGUGCUGCAUGGCUGUCGUCAGCUCGUGCCGUGAGGUGUUGGGUUAAGUCCCGCAACGAGCGCAACCCCCGUCCCCAGUUGCCGUUUCUGGGGAGACUGCCGGGCGAACCCCGGAGGAAGGUGGGGAUGACGUCAAGUCCGCAUGGCCCUUACGUCUGGGGCUUCACACACGCUACAAUGGCCGGUACAGCGGGAUGCGACUCGGCGACGAGCAGCCAAUCCCCCAAACCCGGCCUCAGUCCGGAUUGCAGGCUGCAACCCGCCUGCAUGAAGUCGGAGUUGCUAGUAACCGCGCGUCAGCAUAGUGCGGUGAAUGCGUUCCCGGGCCUUGUACACACCGCCCGU